UGGGGAAUUUUGGACAAUGGGCGAAAGCCUGAUCCAGCAAUGCCGCGUGUGUGAAGAAGGCCUUCGGGUUGUAAAGCACUUUUGUCCGGAAAGAAAUCCUUGGCUCUAAUACAGUCGGGGGAUGACGGUACCGGAAGAAUAAGCACCGGCUAACUACGUGCCAGCAGCCGCGGUAAUACGUAGGGUGCAAGCGUUAAUCGGAAUUACUGGGCGUAAAGCGUGCGCAGGCGGUUUGCUAAGACCGAUGUGAAAUCCCCGGGCUCAACCUGGGAACUGCAUCGGUGACUGGCAGGCUAGAGUAUGGCAGAGGGGGGUAGAAUUCCACGUGUAGCAGUGAAAUGCGUAGAGAUGUGGAGGAAUACCGAUGGCGAAGGCAGCCCCCUGGGCCAAUACUGACGCUCAUGCACGAAAAGCGUGGGGGAGCAAACAGGAUUAGAUACCCCUGGGUAGUCCACGCCCUAAAACGAUGUCAACUAGUUGUUGGGGAUUCAUUUCCUUAGUAACGUAGCUAACGCGUGAAGUUGACCGCCUGGGGAGUACGGUCGCAAGAUUAAAACUCAAAGGAAUUGACGGGGUCAUAGCUGUUUCCU
rnacentral:rRNA from 1 species